rnacentral:rRNA from 1 species
GAUGAACGCUGGCGGCGUGCUUAACACAUGCAAGUCGAACGGUGAAGCAGAGCUUGCUCUGUGGAUCAGUGGCGAACGGGUGAGUAACACGUGAGCAACCUGCCCCUGACUCUGGGAUAAGCGCUGGAAACGGCGUCUAAUACUGGAUAUGAGCUGCGACCGCAUGGUCAGCAGUUGGAAAGAUUUUUCGGUCUGGGAUGGGCUCACGGCCUAUCAGCUUGUUGGUGAGGUAAUGGCUCACCAAGGCGUCGACGGGUAGCCGGCCUGAGAGGGUGACCGGCCACACUGGGACUGAGACACGGCCCAGACUCCUACGGGAGGCAGCAGUGGGGAAUAUUGCACAAUGGGCGAAAGCCUGAUGCAGCAACGCCGCGUGAGGGAUGACGGCCUUCGGGUUGUAAACCUCUUUUAGCAGGGAAGAAGCGAAAGUGACGGUACCUGCAGAAAAAGCGCCGGCUAACUACGUGCCAGCAGCCGCGGUAAUACGUAGGGCGCAAGCGUUAUCCGGAAUUAUUGGGCGUAAAGAGCUCGUAGGGCGGUUUGUCGCGUCUGCUGUGAAAUCCCGAGGCUCCACCUCGGGUCUGCCAGUGGGUACGGGCAGACUAAAGUGCGGUAGGGGAGAUUGGAAUUCCUGGUGUAGCGGUGGAAUGCGCAGAUAUCAGGAAGAACACCGAUGGCGAAGGCAGAUCUCUGGGCCGUUACUGACGCUGAAGAGCGAAAGGGUGGGGAGCAAACAGGCUUAGAUACCCUGGUAGUCCACCCCGUAAACGUUGGGAACUAGUUGUGGGGUCCAUUCCACGGAUUCCGUGACGCAGCUAACGCAUUAAGUUCCCCGCCUGGGGAGUACGGCCGCAAGGCUAAAACUCAAAGGAAUUGACGGGGACCCGCACAAGCGGCGGAGCAUGCGGAUUAAUUCGAUGCAACGCGAAGAACCUUACCAAGGCUUGACAUAUACGAGAACGGGCCAGAAAUGGUCAACUCUUUGGACACUCGUAAACAGGUGGUGCAUGGUUGUCGUCAGCUCGUGUCGUGAGAUGUUGGGUUAAGUCCCGCAACGAGCGCAACCCUCGUUCUAUGUUGCCAGCACGUAAUGGUGGGAACUCAUGGGAUACUGCCGGGGUCAACUCGGAGGAAGGUGGGGAUGACGUCAAAUCAUCAUGCCCCUUAUGUCUUGGGCUUCACGCAUGCUACAAUGGCCGGUACAAAGGGCUGCAAUACCGCGAGGUGGAGCGAAUCCCAAAAAGCCGGUCCCAGUUCGGAUUGAGGUCUGCAACUCGACCUCAUGAAGUCGGAGUCGCUAGUAAUCGCAGAUCAGCAACGCUGCGGUGAAUACGUUCCCGGGUCU